rnacentral:rRNA from 1 species
GAUGAACGCUAGCGAUAGGCUUAACACAUGCAAGUCGAGCGGCAGCAUGGUCUUAGCUUGCUCAUACUGAUGGCGACCGGCGCACGGGUGCGUAACGCGUAUGCAACUUGCCUCACAUAGGGGGUUAACCCGGCGAAAUACCGACUAAUACCCCGUACACUCCAUCUUGGGCAUCCAAGGUAUAGGAACUUAACUUCGCUGUGAGAUAGGCAUGCGUCCCAUUAGCUAGUUGGUGAGGUAACGGCUCACCAAGGCGACGAUGGGUAGGGGAACUGAGAAGUAGAACCACUAGACUGGUACUGAGACACAGACCAGACUGGUACGGGAGGCAGCAGUGAAGAAUAUUGGGCAAUGAAGGCGAGCCUGACCAAGCCAAGUCGCGUGAAGGAGGCCUGUCUUAUGGAAUGUAAACUUCUUUUAAAGGAGAACAGCAAGAGACACGCGUGACUUUCUGAAUGUACCGUAUGAAUAAGCAUCGGCUAACUCCGUG